rnacentral:rRNA from 1 species
AGAGCGAACGCUGGCGGCAGGCCUAACACAUGCAAGUCGAGCGCCCGUAGCAAUACGGGAGCGGCAGACGGGAUAGUAACACGUGGGAACGCGCCCUUCGGUUCGGAAUAACUCAGGGAAACUUGAGCUAAUACCGGAUACGCCCUUACGGGGAAAGAUUUAUUGCCGAAGGAACGGCCCGCGUCCGAUUAGCUAGUUGGUGAGGUAAUGGCUCACCAAGGCGACGAUCGGUAGCUGGUCUGAGAGGAUGACCAGCAUCACUGGGACUGAGACACGACCCAGACUCCUACGGGAGGCAGCAGUGGGGAAUAUUGGACAAUGGGCGCAAGCCUGAUCCAGCCAUGCCGCGUGGAUGAUGAAGGCCUUAGGGUUGUAAAGUCCUUUUAACGGGGAAGAUAAUGACGGUACCCGUAGAAUAAGCCCCGGCUAACUUCGUGCCAGCAGCCGC